rnacentral:sRNA from 1 species
GAUCUAGAGCCCCCGCAAGGGAAGGUAUGGUCAUCAAAUCUACGCGAAUAUUAAUCCGGCUAUCGGUAACUAUUCGCGUAGUCGCGACUCGAAAGGGUCGUGGAGUGCAAGCUC